rnacentral:rRNA from 1 species
UACGUAGGGUGCGAGCGUUAAUCGGAAUUACUGGGCGUAAAGCGUGCGCAGGCGGUCUGUUAAGACCGAUGUGAAAUCCCCGGGCUUAACCUGGGAACUGCAUUGGUGACUGGCAGGCUUUGAGUGUGGCAGAGGGAGGUAGAAUUCCACGUGUAGCAGUGAAAUGCGUAGAGAUGUGGAGGAAUACCGAUGGCGAAGGCAGCCUCCUGGGCCAACACUGACGCUAAUGCACGAAAGCGUGGGGAGCAAACAGG